rnacentral:rRNA from 1 species
GACGAACGCUGGCGGCGUGCCUAAUACAUGCAAGUUGAGCGAUGAAGAUUGGUGCUUGCACCAAUUUGAAGAGCAGCGAACGGGUGAGUAACGCGUGGGGAAUCUGCCUUUGAGCGGGGGACAACAUUUGGAAACGAAUGCUAAUACCGCAUAACAACUUUAAACAUAAGUUUUAAGUUUGAAAGAUGCAAUUGCAUCACUCAAAGAUGAUCCCGCGUUGUAUUAGCUAGUUGGUGAGGUAAAGGCUCACCAAGGCGAUGAUACAUAGCCGACCUGAGAGGGUGAUCGGCCACAGUGGGACUGAGACACGGCCCAAACUCCUACGGGAGGCAGCAGUAGGGAAUCCUCGGCAAUGGACGAAAGUCUGACCGAGCAACGCCGCGUGAGUGAAGAAGGUUUUCGGAUCGUAAAACUCUGUUGGUAGAGAAGAACGUUGGUGAGAGUGGAAAGCUCAUCAAGUGACGGUAACUACCCAGAAAGGGACGGCUAACUACGUG